rnacentral:rRNA from 1 species
UGGGGAAUCUUGGACAAUGGGGGCAACCCUGAUCCAGCCAUGCCGCGUGAGUGAUGAAGGCCUUAGGGUCGUAAAGCUCUUUCGCCUGUGAAGAUAAUGACGGUAGCAGGUAAAGAAACCCCGGCUAACUCCGUGCCAGCAGCCGCGGUAAUACGGAGGGGGUUAGCGUUGUUCGGAAUUACUGGGCGUAAAGCGCACGUAGGCGGACCAGAAAGUUGGGGGUGAAAUCCCGGGGGCUCAACCCCGGAACUGCCUCCAAAACUAUUGGUCUAGAGUUCGAGAGAGGUGAGUGGAAUUCCAAGUGUAGAGGUGAAAUUCGUAGAUAUUUGGAGGAACACCAGUGGCGAAGGCGGCUCACUGGCUCGAUACUGACGCUGAGGUGCGAAAGUGUGGGGAGCAAACAGGAUUAGAUACCCUGGGUAGUCCACACCGUAAAACGAUGAAUGCCAGUCGUCGGGUAGCAU